rnacentral:rRNA from 1 species
GACGAACGCUGGCGGCGUGCUUAACACAUGCAAGUCGAACGGAAAGGCCCUGCUUUUGUGGGGUGCUCGAUUGGCGAACGGGUGAGUAACACGUGAGUAACCUGCCCUUGACUUUGGGAUAACUUCAGGAAACUGGGGCUCAUACCGGAUAGGAGCUCCUGCUGCAUGGUGGGGUUUGGAAAGUUUCGGCGGUGGGGGAUGGACUGGCGGGUUAUCCGCUUGUUGGUGGGGUAGUGGCUUACCAAGGCUUUGACGGGUAGCCGGCCUGGGAGGGUUACCGGCCACAUUGGGACUGAGAUACGGCCCAGACUCCUACGGGAGGCAGCAGUGGGGAAUAUUGCACAAUGGGCGGAAGCCUGAUGCAGCAACGCCGCGUGCGGGAUGACGGCUUUCGGGUUGUAAACCGCUUUCGCAUGUGACGAAGCGUGAGUGACGGUAAUGGGUAAAGAAGCACCGGCUAACUACGUG